CAAGCGUCUGGGGUAAGGAGUCGCUGCGAUCAGCCGCGCCCCACUGAUGAGUCUAGGCAGUGAUUCCGAGACGAAACGCAAA
rnacentral:hammerhead_ribozyme from 17 species